rnacentral:tRNA from 2 species
AGGAGAGUGGCCAAGUGGUUACGGCAUGGGCCUUUGACUCCCAGAUCGGUAGGUUCGAUUCCUCCCUCUCCUGCCA